CUGCGUCGCCCGGGCUUAAAAAGUACUCGAGGCCGAGGGGUGCCGCCGGGACCAAUCACAGCCGAGAGCUGCGAAGAUGUACAAGAAAUAGUACAGGCAAGAAGGUGUGACCUUGAAAUAGUGAUUUUUGCGCAUUGAGACCUCUGUCUUCUCAUCUGUAAAAUGAAGGGGUUGGAUCAGGGAACCGCCCAAACUCCAGCUACAGAAGGCCAACUCGAUUAACCUGAGUCAAUCAGUAAAUGGAUUCCCAGAAUCAUAGAGACUUACAGUGCUUACCUUCUCCUUCCAAGCAUUAAGAAGAUUACACUUUCCCACAGCCGCCCCAGACAGCCCCUCCCGUGCAGUUGGGCUGGACCACGUGACUAGUUACAGGCACUAGUCUAUAGCAAGUUGUGGGUAGACGUGAGUGUCUUUACAAGGUGUGAUAAAAAUACAGGAAAUGCUGCUGUCAAGUGCGAUCCAACA